UCUUCUCCAGACUUAGACCAAAACCUCACAAGCUUCAACGAUUUUUUUGAGCUUCAGCAACCCAAACAACCCCUACUCUCUUCUUCCAUCUUCACAACCCAAAACCCCUCACCUCUAAGACCGGCAACAGACCACCCAUCACGCCGGACAACACACCUCCCUUCACCCAUCGUUGCUUAUACUUCUUCCCGUUUACAACAACCAGCUGGAAACGCACACACUCACGCACGCACAGUAAGAGAAGAGGUACAAAACAGACAAAAAUCAAAAAGGAAGGCUCUAACCUGAAAGUUUUUAUUUGUUUUCUCUGAAUUUUCAGAAUAUAUACAUGUAAGUAGUCUCUGUUUUAGAAGUUAAUUGGAUUGAGCUUAAGCAAAACGAAAACGUCUCAUGUUUCCUCUUUGCGAUUCUGAGUUCUUGGUUUCAAUUUUUGAGUUCGAUUGAGGUUGAGUUGAGUUCGAGUUUGUCGACGAGAUUCGAGUUCCUCCGGCGAAUUCUGAGUUCGUCGAAGAUGCGUUAGUCUGAGAUUUCUGGCAGAUUCGCGGGUCUAUCACGAUGUUAUUGUGGAACUCUGUUCUGCUCCUUCCAGAUUUUGGAGUCGAUCCUAGCGGCGCUUAGUAGAUUGCUCAGAUUAAUUUCUUGACGAAGACUUGAGGUACAGCUGCACGACGUUUGCAGCCUUGGAGUCAACUUUCAUAUCACUCUAGCUGUUUACCAUAUUUUAGACAGUUAUUCUUUCAUUCAGACUUUUAUUUGUAGUACUCUAGCCGCUCGUGUACUUGUGACACUAGUUCCAAGAUUGUAUCCAGAUAUCAUUCUUAUUUUAGAUUACUCACUCAUUUCAGGUUA